rnacentral:misc_RNA from 1 species
GAUGAAGAACGUAGCGAAAUGCGAUAAGUAAUGUGAAUUGCAGAAUUCAGUGAAUCAUCGAAUCUUUGAACGCACAUUGCGCCCGGCAGUAUUCUGGCGGGCAUGCCUGUUCGAGCGUCAUUUCAACCAUCAAGCCCCCGGCUUGUGUUGGGGACCUGCGGCUGCCGCAGGCCCUGAAAAGCAGUGGCGGGCUCGCUGUCACACCGAGCGUAGUAGCAUACAUCUCGCUCUGGGCGUGCUGCGGGUUCCGGCCGUUAAACCACCUUCGUAACCCAAGGUUGACCUCGGAUCAGGUAGGAAGACCCGCUGAACUUAAGCAUAUCAAUAAGCGGAGGA